CACCGGCGCCUGCCUCUGACGCAGCGUUGCGUCGGAGCUGGGCGGGGUGGGGGGGAGGCGGCUGUGAGGUGUGGGAGCUCCGUGGGGUUUGGCGUGGUCAGUGCCUACGUUUGAAGACACGAGUGGCAUUAAGAAUGGCUUGGAUUAUUGAAGAAGUACAUAGAUCUACAUCGGCUCUCAUAUUUUUAGUGAGCUUCGUCAUAGAGACUUCUUGGUGCCUACAGCAGAAAACAACUGAUUUCCAGAGUUGUAUCCUGGACUCAACCAUUCCCAUCUCCCUCAUGAACAUGGAGAAAAUAAGGGUCAUAUUUUCAGAUUACUGAGUCUAAGCCUGCUUAUCUGUACCAUAGGAGUUUUCUCAGGCUCUCUGCCAACCUUGGCCACCUGCAGGGAGAUGUUCCCCUCCUUUGGUUGCCACCUGAGGGCCACUGGAUGGCCCAGUGGUAAGAUGCAGACUUUCAUUUUAAACUCAAUAUGAUCUUAAGUUUAUUCUGAUCCAAAAACAUGGACGUAGGUGGCUACAACCUGCAGUCACUUGUAGAAAUACAAAUUGGGUUAUGGUUCUUGGAAGCAGAGAAUUACAGUAAAGACCUCUGUGUAGCUGCUCCCAAAGCAGUACUUAAAGUCCAUUUCAGAUUAGAUCACUUUGAGAUUUAAUCUGAGACUUGAAGAUGUGAAUUUGGCCAAUGAGCACUGGUAUUAUGUGCUAUUAGAGUGAUUUGUGUUCCAGUACACCUGAACACCAAGUUACAUCUGUAUUCAAAUGUAUUUGGACACAAAUCACUCUGAAAUCACAUAACCAUAACACUAGAUUACAGCUGUAAAACAGUGUGGGAAAUGACAAAAUCCAUUCAUUUUCACUUACUGACAUAUGCUGAUAUAUACAGAGGAAAAGUCACAUUAAAUAACGUGAGCCUUUCUGUUGCUUAUCCAACAACAAAAUUAUCCAGCAUCUAAAAUUAACAAUUUCGAUCAUUCCCAUUAAAAACAAACUACCCCAAAACAGCAACUUGAUGGAACAUGGAAGAGAUUGCAUGUCCAUUUCUGUUUAAGUGUCUCGCUGAAGAUUUGAAGAAAGUUGUCUCUGCAUUAACAGAAUGAAGAUAACACUAAUUUAGCCAAAACUGUAAUUACUGGCAGGGCAGAGAAAAGAUACAAAAGAUACUAAAUAGAAAACAAAAUGAAGUUUUUAUUUGGGAGAAUGUGCAGCAAAGCCUUGAUUUCCUUGAGAAGUAAACCUAAGCACAAGUAUUUUUUGGGAGUGAGGAAGGAAAAGCAGCAGCAAUUGGUCACGGGUACAGGGUCCCCUUCAAUACCCAAACUAUAAAGCAUCCUUUCAUACCAAAACUUUAGAAACCCAUCUUUAAGACAGUGAAACGUGCAGCUUAGUUAAGAAAGCUGUGGAGUAACAGCAAGCAGCAAAGCACACACACAGCAAAACCAGGAGAUGAAUUAUUCAGGUGGGCACAAGAAAGAGAGCCUAAAUAGCAACAACAUUAAAGCAUGACAGGGACCAUUUCUGCUAAGCAUCAGGAGAAGGAGCCAGACUAAAAACCUCCCUGUUUCUGAGCAUUGCCCAGGAGAGCUGCUGAGAGCCGUGGUGUCUGGAUAAAUGUUGAGCAGGUCUGGCCAGGUAAUGCGCUGUAGGAAGCGAUUUUGCAUUGUGAGCAGCCCGAUUGAUUCCAGCUAAAAAAGGAGGGAUGGGAAAAAAAGUAUCCAAACACCUGUGUGGUUGUGAGAGACAUUAGGAAGAGUCUGAUCAGAAAAGAUGGUUGUUCCCAGCACUGGGCCCCAGACUGCUUUGUUAGAGAGCAUUAAUGUCACAUAGAUAAUCAGCCACAGGCAGUGCUCCAUCGGUGCUGGGCUCUGUUCCCAGCUCCCAACAACUGCUUUGCUCCAGCACAUCUGACUACAGCAGAGCACUUUGGUUUGAGAUAAAAAAAAUCCCAAUUUCCACAAAACACGCUGGUAAUAAUUAUCAUUAAGCUGCAAAAUCUGGGUCUGGGCACAGAUGGAGGCAGCAGAGCUAUAGCACUCGCUAUGGCCGUAUCUGGAGAGCCAUUUUCUUCCCAGUCCCUUCUCAAAGGGAUGGUUUUGCAGAGGAAAAAGAGCACCAGCUGGAAAUUUGCGUUUUGGGCACUACAACAAAGGCAGCUUGAUGUCUAGAAGUCAUGAUAGGAGGAAAAAAACCCAUAAGAACAGCAAAUGGAGGGUGGAAAUAAAAUAGAAAGUAUUUAGAAAAGAAAAAUUAAAUUAGAAACCUCAGUUCAGUGCUUCCAUAGUGAGAGUCAGCGGGCAGGCAUCACGCGAGAGCUGGGUUUAAAGAAGGAUUUGGGACAAAAUGUGUUGUGAAAGAUGCUUAACCCUCCCUUAGUGUACCACUGAUGUACAUUCACCAAUCCCAGUACUCUGCAAUGUGGACUGUACACACUUUGUGUUUCUUUAUAGCAAUCCUAUAGAGGAAAACUCCAUGUUUUCCCACGACUGCAAGAUGGAAGUCUAUCCCACCUCAUUCUGGAUACUUGGCUGAGGCAUCACAGUGCUCUGUCAGCGAGCUGCAAGAGAGGACUCCAACUCCCAGCAGGCACAGGGCAGGAAACGCCAGCUCACCCCUCCUUACAGGAAGCAUCCCUAUCGAUCUGCUGCCUGUGGCAGUGCCAGGCAACAGUGACUUGGAUUUUAUUUUCUAACCGUACUGUAUUAGUGUGGAAAUAUUCUGCCAAUUAGAUGAAAAAGGAAGCAUGAAUGUGAGCUUCCUAACAUCCCUGGCUUGCUCUGAGUGAUGCAUGGGGACCUCCCUGAUGCUGUGCAUCUCCUGGCAGAUGCUCCAGGCUGAUGCUGCUGGCACAGGGCUGCAGGUGAAUGCAAACAGAUGUGGCUCUCUAGGUUUAAGCAGUGAACAAUCUGGGGCAAAGAGAAGGAGGUGGGGAGAUGGAAAUAUGGUUGAUGGGCAAAAAGUGGGGGGAAGAAAAUAUAAAAUAAAGGCCAGGCUCAUACUGAGAUAUGAGGAAUGACAGUAUUCAGAGGUGUUGGGGAGAAGGAAGAAGAAAUGAAGGUAACAGCUGCUUAAGGAGGGCCUAGAGGACAAGACAGAGGGGAACACAGAGUGAAGAGCCAGAGGAUAAAAGCUGAAAUGCGGCACUCAUGACUCCAAAACCCACAGGCUGUGCUGACAAGCAGAUGGCCAGCAGGGAGGGAAUCUGUGCCCAGGUCAUGCCAGCCCUGUAAAGCUUUGCACUGAUUUCUAAUAUCCCAUUUAAGUGUCCACAUCACUUGCCAAACCUGCACUGCUGCUCAGAGAGCUGUGGGUGCUCCAUCCCUGGAGGUGCUCAAGGCCAGGCUGGAUGGGGCCCUGAGCAGCCUGAACUGGUGACAGAACCAGAGAAAUAUCCCAAAUUAUCGGCAAGCAGCACAACAUACUAAAAUAAUAAUAAUAUAUAAUCCUAACAGUACCAAUAACGAUAUCAUCGUUAAUUACUAGGUUAGACCGAUUUAUACAAAACCUGAACAUCCCAAAGCCUUUCUCCCGAUGCCCCGUGCCUCACUUUCCCCUCUCGGGGCGGGGACGGGCUGACCCCAGC